rnacentral:pre_miRNA from 1 species
UUAGUACUCCCUCCGUUCCGAAUUACUUGUCGCAAGUAUGGAUGUAUUUAGAUGUAUUUUAGUUUUAAAUACAUUCAUUUCUGCGACGAGUAAUUUAAAACGAAGGGAGUAAUUC